CUUUCUGUUGAUCUAAUUUGGGGUGAAUUUGUUGAAUUUUGGUUGAAUUGGAAUGUGGGUUUAAUUGUGUUGAUUUUUUGUUUAACUUCUAGAGUAGGUGGAUUCAAAAUUAAGAAAUAGUAAGUGGUUGUAGUUAAAUCAUAUAAAAGAUGUGUAUGAUUUUCAUGUUGCAUGUGAGAUGUUAAAAUACAGUAAAUCAUAUUCUAGUCUUGCUGUUAAAAAGUUGUUUUGUUGGUGUAUUUACACCCUUUUUGGUUGUGGAUCAGCGGGUCCAGCUCAAGAUACAGAUAAAAGGAUACAAGCUCUUAAAAAAAGGUAUAAUUUAUUAGACCUUUUGGCAGGUAUAAUUUAUUAACGCUUUUGGCAGGUAUAAUUCAUUUUUUAUUCCAAUUCGCAAUUACUUCGUUUGUUAAAUUUAAGCUUGAUUAUUUUAGUAAAUUUUUAUACCUUAUGUCCAAAUACAUAUACAAUACUGUAUAUGUAUAGUUUUCAUAAUGUUGCUGAGCAUUUUGAAUAUGCAUUUUUUGUGUGGAGAGUGAAGAAUGUACUGUUCACGAAGGCAAAACAGGGAACAACUACUACUUCAUAUGGGAAGAAGAGGUUGAAGUCACUGGUUUUAUUAAUGCUGGUGACCGAAAUCAAUCCAAGUUAAUGUCAAAACGAUUUCACUAUUUUUUGUUACGGUGAGGACUAAGAACCUACAAUAUUUUCUUUAUAUCUCUCAUUUUUUAAAUUAAGAAAUUUACUUUUUUAUACCACUUUUGUGAUCAUUUCUUAAGAAUUUGUUAAUUGUUUUAAUAUGUAAUGAGGUAGGAUUUCUACGUUCAUUUCUCAUCUUUACAGA